GUAAUACUUCUUCCGUCUAACGAUGAAUGUCUCAACUUUGACUAAAUUUGAAUGCAGUUGUGUAUAACUGCAUUCAAAUUUAGUCAAAAUUGAGACAUCUUUUGUUGGACGGAGUAAGUAAGUA
rnacentral:pre_miRNA from 1 species